rnacentral:rRNA from 1 species
GACGAACGCUGGCGGCGUGCCUAAUACAUGCAAGUCGAGCGCAGGAAGCUCACGGAACUCUUCGGAGGGAAGUGAAGGGAAUGAGCGGCGGACGGGUGAGUAACACGUAAGGAACCUGCCCCAAGGAUUGGGAUAACUCCGAGAAAUCGGAGCUAAUACCGAAUAGUUCUUCAGACCGCAUGGUCUGAUGAUGAAAGGCGCUUCGGCGUCACCUUGGGAUGGCCUUGCGGUGCAUUAGCUAGUUGGUGGGGUAAUGGCCCACCAAGGCGACGAUGCAUAGCUGACCGGAGAGGGUGAUCGGCCACACUGGGACUGAGACGCGGCCCAGACUCCUACGGGAGGCAGCAGUAGGGAAUCUUCCACAAUGGACGAAAGUCUGAUGGAGCAACGCCGCGUGAGUGAUGAAGGUUUUCGGAUCGUAAAACUCUGUUGUAAGGGAAGAACAGGCAUGAGAGGUAAUGCUCAUGCUAUGACGGUACCUUGCGAGAAAGCCACGGCUAACUACGUGCCAGCAGCCGCAGUAACAC